rnacentral:rRNA from 1 species
AGUGAACGCUGGCGGUAGGCCUAACACAUGCAAGUCGAACGGCAGCACAGGAGAGCUUGCUCUCUGGGUGGCGAGUGGCGGACGGGUGAGGAAUACAUCGGAAUCUACUCUGUCGUGGGGGAUAACGUAGGGAAACUUACGCUAAUACCGCAUACGACCUACGGGUGAAAGCAGGGGACCUUCGGGCCUUGCGCGCUUCAAUGAGCCGAUGUGGGAGUAGCUAGUUGGCGGGGUAAAGGCCCACCAAGGCGACGAUCCGUAGCUGGUCUGAGAGGAUGAUCAGCCACACUGGAACUGAGACACGGUCCAGACUCCUACGGGAGGCAGCAGUGGGGAAUAUUGGACAAUGGGCGCAAGCCUGAUCCAGCCAUACCGCGUGGGUGAAGAAGGCCUUCGGGUUGUAAAGCCCUUUUGUUGGGAAAGAAAUCCAGCUGGCUAAUACCCGGUUGGGAUGACGGUACCCAAAGAAUAAGCACCGGCUAACUUCGUGCCAGCAGCCGCGGUAA